rnacentral:rRNA from 1 species
UACGAAGGGUGCAAGCGUUAAUCGGAAUUACUGGGCGUAAAGCGUGCGUAGGCGGUGAUUUAAGUCUGCUGUGAAAUCCCCGGGCUCAACCUGGGAAUGGCAGUGGAUACUGGAUCGCUAGAGUGUGAUAGAGGAUGGUGGAAUUCCCGGUGUAGCGGUGAAAUGCGUAGAGAUCUGGAGGAAUACCGGUGGCGAAGGCGGCAUCCUGGACCGACAUUGACGCUGAACGGCGAAAGCUAGGGGAGCAAACGGG